ACGCUGGCGGCGUGCUAACACAUGCAAGUCGAACGAUGAUAGAGAGCUUGCUUUUCUUGAUUAGUGGCGCACGGGUGAGUAAUGCAUAGAUAAUGUGCCCCUUAGUUCGGGAUAGCCACUGGAAACGGUGAUUAAUACCGGAUACUCCUUCUUGUUAUAAGACAAGUCGGGAAAGUUUUUCGCUAAGGGAUCAGUCUAUGUUCCAUCAGCUUGUUGGUGAGGUAAUGGCUCACCAAGGCUAUGACGGAUAUCUGGUUUGAGAGGAUGAUCAGACACACUGGAACUGAGACACGGUCCAGACUCCUACGGGAGGCAGCAGUGAGGAAUAUUGCACAAUGGAGGAAACUCUGAUGCAGCAACGCCGCGUGGAGGAUGACGCAUUUCGGUGUGUAAACUCCUUUUAUUAGGGAAGAUAAUGACGGUACCUAAUGAAUAAGCACCGGCUAACUCCGUGCCAGCAGCCGCGGUAAUACGGAGGGUGCAAGCGUUACUCGGAAUCACUGGGCGUAAAGGGUGCGUAGGCUGGCUUUUAAGUCAGAUGUGAAAUCCAAUGGCUCAACCAUUGAACUGCAUUUGAAACUGAAAGCCUAGAGUUCAGAAGGGGCAGAUGGAAUUAGUGGUGUAGGGGUAAAAUCCGUAGAUAUCACUAGGAAUAUCAAAAGCGAAGGCGAUCUGCUGGGAUGAUACUGACG
rnacentral:rRNA from 1 species